GAUGAACGCUGGCGGCGUGCCUAAUACAUGCAAGUCGAGCGGACGGACGAGUUGCUUGCUGCUCUGAGGUUAGCGGCGGCCGAGUGAGUAACAAGAGGUUAACAUCCUUCUACGACUGGCAUAACAACGGGAAGCCGGAGCUACUACUAGAUAAUAUUUUGAACCUCUUGGUUCAUGAGUCUAAGACAGUUUUUGUUUCACUUAUAGAUGGACCCGCGCUGCAUUAGCUAGUUGGUAGGGUAACGGCUUACCAAGGCAGCGAUGCAUAGCCGACCUGAGAGGAUGGUCGGCCACCCUGGAAGGGAGGCGAGGCCGAGACGACUACGGGAGGCAGCAGCAGGGAAGCUUACGCAAUGGUCGGAGGCCUGACGGUGCAGCGACGCCGGGGUGAUGAUGGUCUCCGGAGCGUAGAGCUCUGCUAUUGGGAAAGAAGCAGGGUGGCAUUGUCUGUGCACGUGUUGACGGUAGCUAGACAGAAAGCCACGGCUAACUACGUG
rnacentral:rRNA from 1 species